AUGGGAUGCUGAAGAUGGUUUUGACAUCCCGAAUCCGAGAUUCAAAGGCAUCACAACUCUUGAUGAGAAAACUGGAAAAAUCACUAUAACUAAAUUAAAAUUCGAACAUAGUGGACUUUACACCAUCGACAUCAGCAGUAAAGAGCAGGAACAGAGAUUCACCUUGGAAGUUUUGGCGCUGCUCCCCAAACCUGUGAUAAAAAUAGAGAAGAUUGAUAUUAACCCUAAUGCUGUGUAUUUAAAAUGUGAGUACAGUGAAAAGAUCAUCUGGAAGAAUUCUGCUGGAGAAACACUGAAGGGCACAAUCCAGAGUCCGAAAGGAGAACUUAUCACAGUUGAAAAA